rnacentral:rRNA from 1 species
UACGUAGGGGGGCAAGCGUUGUCCGGAUUUAUUGGGCGUAAAGAGCGUGUAGGCGGCCAAACAGGUCCACUGUGAAAACUCGAGGGCUCAACCUCGAGAGGUCGGUGGAAACCGUCUGGCUAGAGUCCGGAAGAGGAGAAUGGAAUUCCCGGGUGUAGCGUGAAAUGGCGCAGAUAUCGGGAAGAACACCCGUGGCGAAGGCGGUUCUCUGG